CGUCGCCGUCCUCAUGCUUCCAUGCGUGUUUUGCGUUGCCAUGGUUGUUAAGUCAAUUCCUCCACUAGCGGGCAGACCUGAGCUCAGAGUACA